CAAGGAACAUCCCUCUGAUGAAAAUAAUCCAGUUGAUGAAGGUGGCAAUUUCUUGCCAGCUCUAUUUGGAAAGUUGCCCUGAUGCUGGAUUCCUAAAGAGGAAGGGGGUGCAGAUAAGAGACUGAUCUCCCAGCAAAGAAAAAUGUCUGUGCUCUAUGGUUUCACUGAGGACCUGCCAGUCAACCCAACUUGUGACAGAACCGAAGAGACUCCAUGUGUCUCCAAGCAAGAUUUCCUCUAAGAAAAGAAUUCUGCAAUUUCCAACCCAAACAAUCUUGGAAGUUCCAUCCUCCAGGCAAAUGUCUUGCCUUUCAUCCUGAGUAUGUGUGUUCUGAUAUUGUUGAACUCCAC
ensembl:lncRNA